GGGCCGUUAGCUCAGUUGGUAGAGCAGGAGGCUUUUAACCUCUGUGUCAUAGGUUCGACUCCUAUACGGCCCACCA
rnacentral:tRNA from 1 species